rnacentral:tRNA from 2 species
CGCGGGGUGGAGCAGUGGUAGCUCAUUGGGCUCAUAACCCAAAGGUCGCUGGUUCGAAUCCAGCCCCCGCUA